UACGAAGGUGGCAAACGUUACUCGGAAUUACUAGGCGUAAAGGGCAGGUAGGUGGUUUGGUAAGUCUAUUGUGAAAGCUCCCGGCUUAACUGGGAGAGGUCAAUAGAAACUACCAGACUUGAGUAUGGGAGAGGGUACUGGAAUUCCCGGAGUAGCGGUGAAAUGCGCAGAUAUCGGGAGGAACACCAAUGGCGAAAGCAGCUCGCUGGGACGGUACUGACGCUGAGACGCGAAAGCGUGGGGAGCAAACAGG
rnacentral:rRNA from 1 species